rnacentral:rRNA from 1 species
GACAGAGGGUGCAAACGUUGUUCGGAAUUACUGGGCGUAAAGCGCGUGUAGGCGGCUCGGAAAGUCGGGUGUGAAAGCCCUGGGCUCAACCCAGGAAGUGCAUUCGAAACUGCAGAGCUGGAGUCCUGGAGAGGAAGGCGGAAUUCUCGGUGUAGAGGUGAAAUUCGUAGAUAUCGAGAGGAACACCGGUGGCGAAGGCGGCCUUCUGGACAGUGACUGACGCUGAGACGCGAAAGCGUGGGGAGCAAACAGG